rnacentral:rRNA from 1 species
UACGAAGGGGGCUAGCGUUGUUCGGAAUGACUGGGCGUAAAGGGCGCGUAGGCGGCGAUGUAAGUCAGGCGUGAAAGCCCCGGGCUCAACCUGGGAACGGCGCUUGAUACUGCGUUGCUUGAGGACGGGAGAGGAUGGUGGAAUUCCCAGUGUAGAGGUGAAAUGCGUAGAUAUCGGGAGGAACACCAGUGGCGAAGGCGGCUCACUGGCCCGAUACUGACGCUGAGGAGCGAAAGCGUGGGGAGCGAACAGG